rnacentral:tRNA from 1 species
GCUCAGCUAGCUUAGUCACUAGAGCAUGAGACUCUUAAUUGCCAGGGUUGUGGGUUCAAGCCCCAUGCUGGGCA